UUGGAUGAGAUGGUAAAUGCUGCUCUCUCCGGGGCAGGAAUGCUGUUGGAGCAAAAAACUUGGACCUUCAAGUCAAGAAAGCCAAAUAUGAUCCAAGUCACUGGCUGUACUGAAUUAAAGUUCUCCUUCAAUGAACUGAAAACACCUUAAGGAAGAUGAAAGCUGACUAUUAUAGAGACACACCGAAAUUCUGAGGGAAGAAUUAAGAGGCUGCCCAGAAGGAUAAUUGGGUUUUAAAGYGCUGAAAGCGACUCUGGAGGAGCAGGUCCUGGAAGGCUCUCACAGCAGCGCUGGACGUUACCUCCCAGCAACCUGCACCAGCAGGACAGACCUGCCCUCCA